rnacentral:piRNA from 1 species
UCUGCAGAGGCCCAGGCCUGGGCACGAAGGG